rnacentral:rRNA from 1 species
UGCAGUCGAACGCUUCUUUUCCCACCGGAGCUUGCUCCACCGGGAAAAGAGGAGUGGCGAACGGGUGAGUAACACGUGGGUAACCUGCCCAUCAGAAGGGGAUAACACUUGGAAACAGGUGCUAAUACCGUAUAACAAUCGAAACCGCAUGGUUUCGUUUUGAAAGGCGCUUUACGGUGCCGCUGAUGGAUGGACCCGCGGUGCAUUAGCUAGUUGGUGAGGUAACGGCUCACCAAGGCCACGAUGCAUAGCCGACCUGAGAGGGUGAUCGGCCACAUUGGGACUGAGACACGGCCCAAACUCCUACGGGAGGCAGCAGUAGGGAAUCUUCGGCAAUGGACGAAAGUCUGACCGAGCAACGCCGCGUGAGUGAAGAAGGUUUUCGGAUCGUAAAACUCUGUUGUUAGAGAAGAACAAGGGUGAGAGUAACUGUUCACCCCUUGACGGUAUCUAACCAGAAAGCCACGGCUAACUACGUGCCAGCAGCCGCGGUAAUACGUAGGUGGCAAGCGUUGUCCGGAUUUAUUGGGCGUAAAGCGAGCGCAGGCGGUUUCUUAAGUCUGAUGUGAAAGCCCCCGGCUCAACCGGGGAGGGUCAUUGGAAACUGGGAGACUUGAGUGCAGAAGAGGAGAGUGGAAUUCCAUGUGUAGCGGUGAAAUGCGUAGAUAUAUGGAGGAACACCAGUGGCGAAGGCGGCUCUCUGGUCUGUAACUGACGCUGAGGCUCGAAAGCGUGGGGAGCAAACAGGAUUAGAUACCCUGGUAGUCCACGCCGUAAACGAUGAGUGCUAAGUGUUGGAGGGUUUCCGCCCUUCAGUGCUGCAGCUAACGCAUUAAGCACUCCGCCUGGGGAGUACGACCGCAAGGUUGAAACUCAAAGGAAUUGACGGGGGCCCGCACAAGCGGUGGAGCAUGUGGUUUAAUUCGAAGCAACGCGAAGAACCUUACCAGGUCUUGACAUCCUUUGACCACUCUAGAGAUAGAGCUUCCCCUUCGGGGGCAAAGUGACAGGUGGUGCAUGGUUGUCGUCAGCUCGUGUCGUGAGAUGUUGGGUUAAGUCCCGCAACGAGCGCAACCCUUAUUGUUAGUUGCCAUCAUUUAGUUGGGCACUCUAGCAAGACUGCCGGUGACAAACCGGAGGAAGGUGGGGAUGACGUCAAAUCAUCAUGCCCCUUAUGACCUGGGCUACACACGUGCUACAAUGGGAAGUACAACGAGUCGCGAAGUCGCGAGGCUAAGCUAAUCUCUUAAAGCUUCUCUCAGUUCGGAUUGUAGGCUGCAACUCGCCUACAUGAAGCCGGAAUCGCUAGUAAUCGCGGAUCAGCACGCCGCGGUGAAUACGUUCCCGGGCCUUGUACACACCGCCCGUCACACCACGAGAGUUUGUAACACCCGAAGUCGGUGAGGUAACCUUUUGGAGCCAGCCGC